GAUCUUGGACAAUGGGGGGAACCCUGAUCCAGCGACGCCGCGUGAGUGAAGAAGUAUUUCGGUAUGUAAAGCUCUAUCAGCAGGGAAGAAAGAAGACGGUACCUGACCAAGAAGCCCCGGCUAACUACGUGCCAGCAGCCGCGGUAAUACGUAGGGGGCAAGCGUUAUCCGGAUUUACUGGGUGUAAAGGGAGCGUAGACGGUGGUGCAAGUCUGGAGUGAAAGGCAGGGGCUCAACCCCUGGACGGCUCUGGAAACUGUAUGACUGGAGUGCAGGAGAGGUAAGUGGAAUUCCUAGUGUAGCGGUGAAAAGCGUAGAUAUUAGGAGGAACACCAGUGGCGAAGGCGGCUUACUGGACUGUAACUGACGUUGGGGCUCGAAAGCGUGGGGAGCAAA
rnacentral:rRNA from 1 species